GCGGACGUGGGGCACGGGCACUCCUGCAGUCUAUGGGUCAACGGAGAAAAGAAUUUGAGCAGUUGAACGGGGUUCGACUCCCCGCGUCCGCA